rnacentral:rRNA from 1 species
GAUGAACGCUGGCGGCGUGCCUAAUACAUGCAAGUCGAGCGAACAGAUGAGGAGCUUGCUCCUCUGACGUUAGCGGCGGACGGGUGAGUAACACGUGGAUAACCUACCUAUAAGACUGGGAUAACUUCGGGAAACCGGAGCUAAUACCGGAUAAUAUAUUGAACCGCAUGGUUCAAUAGUUCAAGACGGUUUUGCUGUCACUUAUAGAUGGAUCCGCGCCGCAUUAGCUAGUUGGUAAGGUAACGGCUUACCAAGGCAACGAUGCGUAGCCGACCUGAGAGGGUGAUCGGCCACACUGGAACUGAGACACGGUCCAGACUCCUACGGGAGGCAGCAGUAGGGAAUAUUCCGCAAUGGGCGAAAGCCUGACGGAGCAACGCCGCGUGAGUGAUGAAGGUCUUCGGAUCGUAAAACUCUGUUAUUAGGGAAGAACGAAUGUGUAAGUAACUAUGCACGUCUUGACGGUACCUAAUCAGAAAGCCACGGCUAACUACGUG